UGGGGAAUAUUGGACAAUGGGCGCAAGCCUGAUCCAGCCACGCCGCGUGAGUGAUGAAGGCCUUCGGGUCGUAAAGCUCUGUGGGGAGGGACGAACCGCCGGUAAUUAAUACCUACCGGCAUGACGGUACCUCCUUAGCAAGCACCGGCUAACUUCGUGCCAGCAGCCGCGGUAAUACGAAGGGUGCAAACGUUGCUCGGAAUUAUUGGGCGUAAAGCGCACGUAGGCGGCUUUGUAAGUCGGAUGUGAAAUCCCUCGGCUUAACCAAGGAAGUGCAUCCGAAACUACAGAGCUUGAGUACUUAAGAGGAUCGCGGAAUUCCCGGUGUAGAGGUGAAAUUCGUAGAUAUCGGGAGGAACACCAGUGGCGAAGGCGGCGAUCUGGGAAGAUACUGACGCUGAGGUGCGAAAGCGUGGGGAGCAAACA
rnacentral:rRNA from 1 species